GUUCCUUCGGAGUGUUGCCUAUGGGAGGUAACCUAUGCAGGGUUCCAUUGCUUUGUGUUUAACAUCAAUCUCUCUUAGGAGAGACGCCACUUCAACCAUCUACCUCACGUAUCCACAACCUGACCAAUGAUCCUUCAACAGUGGAAUUGUUAUCCUGACAAUUGUGACAGCAACUUGAAUGGUUCACAGGUGGAGGCCAAUGGUUUAUAUCCUGCCCUUUUUCCCAGUAGAAGAAUGAGCCAGCUGUGCCUCUGCACUCUUGACACCUACGUGA